rnacentral:rRNA from 1 species
CCUACGGGGGGCAGCAGUCGAGAAUCAUUCACAAUGGGGGAAACCCUGAUGGUGCGACGCCGCGUGGGGGAAUGAAGGUCUUCGGAUUGUAAACCCCUGUCAUGUGGGAGCAAAUUAAAAAGAUAGUACCACAAGAGGAAGAGACGGCUAACUCUGUGCAACCAGCCGCGGUAAUACAGAGGUGUCAGGCGUUGUUCGGAAUCACGUGGCGUAAAGCGUGCGUAGGCUGUUUCGUAAGUCGUGUGUGAAAGGCGCGGGCUCAACCCGCGGACGGCACAUGAUACUGCGAGACUAGAGUAAGGGAGGGGGAACCGGAAUUCUCGGUGUAGCAGUGAAAUGCGUAGAUAUCGAGAGGAACACUCGUGGCGAAGGCGGGUUCCUGGACAUUAACUGACGCUGAGGCACGAAGGCCAGGGGAGCGAAAGGGAUUAGAUACCCCAGUAGUC